AUUGACAGUAGUGUCGUAUGACCAACAAUGAGAGUAAACACUGUUCUGUGCAAGUAUUGGUUGAAAUAUUUCACAGCUCGGAGGAAGCUCAGCAGUCCUGUCUGUUUUUUUUUUUAAUAAUGUUCUCUGUGACAGUGAUCCAAAAGCUAUCAGGCGUUCACUGCCAUCUUUCAUGAAGUGUGACAUAACUACACCGAGGCAUAUUGGGGCUUCACAAGCCAGCUUCACUGGGAAGGUUGAGCAACAUCUAAAGGUGUCGUUCUGGAUCCAGAAGAUUGCCAAUAGCUCUCUGCUGAAGAACAUUCUGGAAGCAUUCAGAGAGACAGUCAUACUCUCCCUCCUAAAGAGAUGGAAAUGCCAAUGAGUGCCAAUGAGACAGCUUUGCUGUGUUUGGUGUGUGCCUUUCUCCUUCUGCUACGGAAGGCCAUCCAAAAUGGAUGUCUUUGAACAAAUACCUCCUCCUUCUUAGCAGAGACCAGUGAUUUUCACAUCUCAAAUCUGAUGCAAAUUACUAUACAGGAAUGUGGCAGGUAUCUUUUAGAAAAAGAACCUUCCCAGUUCCCACCAAUCUGAAUUCAGUUCACAGGAACACUUGGAACAAAAAUGAGGCCCUGAAAGUUUUUGUUCCCACCAUGCCAGAAAUUUAGUCUAGAAAUAUUUAGCUCUUGACAGUUACACACUACAGUAGCAGUAGUAAUAAUAAAAGUUGAAACACACAAUAGCUUUCAUAACAGACUUGUGUAAAGCCCAAACCUGCCACCUACUGGAGAAUCCAAAGUGUGUUGCAUUAAAAAAUAUCAGAAAGGCCAGUUAGAAAAUCAGUGACAAUGAAGAAAAAGCAGUGGGGUCAUGGCUAGUGUUGUGUGUGUCCUGAACAUACAAAAUUGUUGUCUUCUCUCUUUUAUUUCUGAAUCAACCAUAACUAUUUAUUUCUGAAGCUUAAAUUAGUUGCUUUACUCAAGCUAAUGCUUAGAAUGUAUAUAGGUCACAUACUACUAACUAAAGCAGGGGCCAGCAACCUUAAAUACUCAAAGAGCUACAAAGGUCCUAAACGUAAGCCUCCCAUUCAAUUCUGCAGCUGACCGGAAGUCCGGUUCUCCCACCAUAGAGUCUUCUCUUAGUGCGACAUCCUUUUUCCUCUACCAGU